rnacentral:lncRNA from 1 species
AAGCUUGUUAUGAUGCAUCGUUGUCAUUAUCAUGUACCCUUAAUCAAGAUGAAAAUGUGGAUCCCCUUACAAUAUCAGGUAUCUUUCUUAUCUAUUUUAAGUUUCAACCUAAUGAGUCAGCAUUGUACAUGGGUACUGUCUUUUUAGUAAGAUGGAUUGUUUCCUUUGUUCAAAUAGCUAACCCAACUAAUAUGACACAAGAAGCUGUCUUGAAUAACAUCAAGGAAACAAGGCAGAUACCUCCAGUUGGGCUCAAAAAAAUUGACGGACGAACAAAGAGAGCAGAUAAACGCAAAGAGGCGGGCUUUUUAUCGAAAGAAAAGAGAUAUGCUUAUAGAAGAUGAAAAUCUUGCUCCACAUACAAUGACAAGUAAGCUUGUGAUAUGUUUGUGAAUAUCGUAAUGAUUUAUGCA